rnacentral:rRNA from 1 species
GGGGAAGUAUGGUUGCAAAGCUGAAACUUAAAGGAAUUGACGGAAGGGCACCACCAGGAGUGGAGCCUGCGGCUUAAUUUGACUCAACACGGGGAAACUCACCCGGCCCGGACACCGUAAGGAUUGACAGAUUGAUAGCUCUUUCAUGAUUCGGUGGUUGGUGGUGCAUGGCCGUUCUUAGUUCGUGGAUCGAUUUGUCUGGUUUAUUCCGAUAACGAGCGAGACUCUAGCCUACUAAAUAGUAACAGGAUUAUCUUCACGAUUGUCCUUUUGUUGCUUCUUAGAGGGAUUUUCGGUGUUUAGCCGCACGAGAUUGAGCAAUAACAGGUCUGUGAUGCCCUUAGAUGUCCGGGGCUGCACGCGCGCUACACUGGCGAAAUCAGCGUGCUGUAUCCAUUCUCGAAAGGGAUUGGUAAACCCAUGAAAAUUUGCCGUGCUUGGGAUCGGAAAUUGCAAUUAUUUUCCGUGAACGAGGAAUUCCAAGUAAGUGCGAGUCAUCAACUCGCUCUGAUUACGUCCCUGCCCUUUGUACACACCGCCCGUCGCUGCCCGGGACUGAGCCAUUUCGAGAAGAUCAGGGACCGGUGGACUGUGGCUUUCUUUCGGGGGAGUCCGGUUCGCUGGAAACUGAUUUGAUCGCAGUGGCUUGAACCGGGCAAAAGUCGUAACAAGGUAGCCGUAGGUGAACCUGCGGCUGGAUCAUUAUCGAGCAUAAAUGAUAAAUUUUUUUAUGGAUGACAUGCUAGGAGCGGUCCGUUCGUAUGACGGAUGCGGCUCGUCACCAGUGAACCAACGGCUCUCGGUUGGCGUCUAACACAGUUCUCGAGCAGUUGUGCCUAAGUCCGUGGCUGUGAUGAAAGAACUGAGGUACGCAUACGUCCUGNUAGUCUCA